AAGUUUGAUAUGAGAUUCGACC
rnacentral:miRNA from 1 species